GUUGAUGUGGCUGAAUUUAAGGUGGUARACUGUAAAUUUACUUAUGGAUGYUAUUUCCUUUCAAUA
rnacentral:tRNA from 1 species